UCUUUGAAUUGCGUUCUUUAUUAUUAAUAAAUUGGCUUUCGUUUAAGAAAUCGAAGCAGCAAAUUAUUACGUUAAAAGUCAGUCAAAAUUUGUCGUGCAUAUUUGUUAAAAAUUCAAAAACUCUUUUGUUCUCCUUUUGAAGAAUGUUUAUCAAAUGUUUAUUUUUCUCGUUUUCCUCUAAUAUUGCAUCCAAUUCAUCAAUUGAAACAUAUUUACGUUCAUGCAACAGAUUACGAAUAAAAAGCAGCUGAUUUUGAAUUUUUGCAUCAAGAAGGAUAGCAUUCAGUUCACAUACUUCAAACGGGUUCGAGUUAGGACGUUCGUAUAAAGGACUUAACAUCUCUACCAGUGAAUUCAAGGUACCACUUAAACAUGUCAAAAGUGUUCCGUUACUUUUUUUCAAUUCGUUAUUUAAUCCUUUUAACAAUUGAAAUUCAUCGUUAUUCACCCUACUGUUAAGGAAAUUGGAAUUUUCAUCAUUCUGUUGCAAAAAUGAAGCGGUCUCAGGUAGUAUGGGGGCAUUUGUGUUUUGCUUAAUAGGCUCUUUAACGAUUAACAUACUAUUUAGGUUUCUUCCUUUUCGAGCUUUCACUAGUCCAUAGUUACCUUUCAAAGUCUCCAUUUGUUGCUCAUGCUGGCGUAAUGAAACAGAUAAUUGAUUCUUUAAUGCCUUCAAAGUCAAUUCAUUUUUAGCAUUUACAUCUUUCAAACCUUUAUUUUGUGUAAUUAAUUCAGCUUGAUCUCUUUCCAGUGUUCUAACUUUAUUCAGUUGCAAUUGACAUUCGUUUUGAUAAAGCUCCAACUCAUUUUUGAGCCGUUUUAUUGUAUUGUUAUCUCUUUGCUUUUCAUAUUCAUUAUUUUUAAUAGCAUCAAGAAGAGAUUCCUUUUCUAAACGUUCUUCGUCAGUUGCUCUUAAUAAACGAUAUAUGAUGUUCACUAUGUUGCAAUUAUCACGAAUGUCAUGAGAAAGGCGUAACUUUUCAGCUUGUAUUACUCCUUUGGAAAAUAAAGAUUUGUUAAUAUACAAAAGGCUUUCUUCUAUAUUGCUGGGGUUGCAAAAAACAAUGGGGGUGGUCAUCUUCCAAUGUUUACACUUAUUAAUGCGGUGGUGAAGAAAUAAUGUAGAACAUCCUUAUAAAAAUCAUCUAUUGCAUAGAACUUAAAACAGAUUGAUUAUUAACUACAAA